AGAAGAAAAUCUUGAUCUUCAGAAUACUUCCUGAGCUAUUCAUAAAAGGGGUAAUAAUUUAACAGAACAAAGUACAUGAAAUCAAGAAACUGUGUCCCUGGAAAUCCACCUGGUUUUUCUAGUGCUGGAGAACUAGCAGAUGUGACCAGCGUGCUGGUAAUGUGGAGCGAGUGACCCUGUUUGGAUGAUGAAUUAAAUGGCUCCUGCAUUUAAUAACAGCCCCUGAACACGCAGGAUGGUGCA